CGGCGGCGCGGACGCGGGGGGAGGCCGGGCGGCCGCCAGCAGGUGCAGGGGCCGGCGCGCAGCCCGGGUCGCGGAAGCCGACCGCAGAGUCCGCUGGCCUGGGAGGGAGGGAAGGAGCUGCCGCCUGGAGCUUCUCGGGGUGCGGGCGGGAAGGGGCUGCGCAGCCUCUGCUCCAUCACCGCAGAUCCCGGCCCCGGCCCCGACCCCGCCACCGCCACAGAGGCCUGCGGAGGCAGCCGACGAGUGAGAAGGCGCGUCGGGGAAUCUUCGGCCGCGGAAGUCGGGCCCUCGCCGCCCUCCGUGCAUCCAGCGACCUGCUCUGCUAGGCGCUGAAGCACAGUGGCCUGCGACGCUGUAGUCGCUGACCUCGAAUUGAUCGACUCCGGGACUGUUUAGCGCUGGGAAGGGUGUGACUGCCUGGUGCAGACCUACAGUUUACGGAUUGGGCAGUUGAGGCUGAGCUGGAGCCUGGCGAAGGGACCUCCCCACGGGCGCUCAGCUGGGCAGUGGAGAGCUGGAGCUGCGCCUGGGGCUGGGUCUCUGGCCCCUGGUCCUGAAGCCUGUGUUCGGGCUGCCUCUCUGCAUACCUGUACUCAGCUCCGUAGACUGUCAACUCCAGGGCGGCUGCAUAUUUCUCUCCGGCAGACCGAGUGCCGUACACACUGUAAAUGCGGAGUAAAGGUGCUCAGGAAGUAGUUAUGGAAUGAGUGAGUGGUGCUACUAUAAGUCACGAUUCAGAUUCUGUGUGCUAACUGACUAUAGAAGAUAAGCAUCUUGCCAAAGAUAAAACAAAGCUAAAAUAUACUGGAAGUUAUGAAGAAUGUGUAAAAGUGAAAAGGCUGUUUUAUAUUUCCUCAAUCUUUCAUAUUGUAACUGUUUGAUAAAUUAUUAGAUGAAUUGAUUCUAACUUGCCCUUUCAUCAAUGAACAAUCCAAAUACAA